rnacentral:rRNA from 1 species
GAUGGACGCUGGCGGCGUGCCUAAUACAUGCAAGUCGAGCGAACGGACGAGAAGCAUGCUUCUCUGAUGUUAGCGGCGGACGGGUGAGUAACACGUGGAUAACCUACCUAUAAGACUGGGAUAACUUCGGGAAACCGGAGCUAAUACCGGAUAAUAUUUUGAACCGCAUGGUUCAAAAGUGAAAGACGGUCUUGCUGUCACUUAUAGAUGGAUCCGCGCUGCAUUAGCUAGUUGGUAAGGUAACGGCUUACCAAGGCAACGAUGCAUAGCCGACCUGAGAGGGUGAUCGGCCACACUGGAACUGAGACACGGUCCAGACUCCUACGGGAGGCAGCAGUAGGGAAUCUUCCGCAAUGGGCGAAAGCCUGACGGAGCAACGCCGCGUGAGUGAUGAAGGUCUUCGGAUCGUAAAACUCUGUUAUUAGGGAAGAACAUAUGUGUAAGUAACUGUGCACAUCUUGACGGUACCUAAUCAGAAAGCCACGGCUAACUACGU